CACGUAGGGGGCGAGCGUUGUCCGGAUUUAUUGGGCGUAAAGAGCUCGUAGGCGGCUCGGUAAGUCAGGUGUGAAAACUCUAGGCUCAACCUAGAGACGCCACCUGAUACUGCCGUGGCUAGAGUCCGGUAGGGGAGCAUGGAAUUCCAGGUGUAGCGGUGAAAUGCGUAGAUAUCUGGAGGAAUACCGGUGGCGAAGGCGGCAUCCUGGACCGACAUUGACGCUGAGGAGCGAAAGCUAGGGGAGCAAACGGG
rnacentral:rRNA from 1 species